rnacentral:rRNA from 1 species
GAUGAACGCUGGCGGCGUGCUUAACACAUGCAAGUCGAGCGGGCAAUUUAUCUAGCACUGAUUACUUCAAAUGGAAAUCAUAAGUGUAAUCAUGAAUUUCUACCUUUAAUAAAGAAAAAAGAAAUUCAUGUACGCAAAUAGUGAUAACACAUUUUAGUGAAGUGAUGAGUGCUGGAUAAUUGCUAGCGGCGGACGGGUGCGUAACACGUGGGUAACCUGCCCCUAUCACUGGGAUAACACACUGAAAAGUGUGCUAAUACCAGAUAACAUAAGCUUUUGGCAUCAUUAGCUUAUCAAAGAAUUUCGGAUAGGGAUGGGCCCGCGUCUGAUUAGCUAGUUGGUGAGGUAACGGCUCACCAAGGCAACGAUCAGUAGCCGACCUGAGAGGGUGAUCGGCCACACUGGAACUGAGACACGGUCCAGACUCCUACGGGAGGCAGCAGUGAGGAAUAUUGGUCAAUGGAC